rnacentral:tRNA from 1 species
GGGGAUGUAGCUCAGUGGUAGAGCGCUUGCCUAGCAUGGUUCAGAUCCUGGGUUUCAUCUCCA